CACUCCUUCCUUAUUCCUGGUCCCCACGCCUCCCUCCCUCCAUCUUAAGCCCAUGGCAACCGCUGAUCUUUUUACUCUCUCCAUCGUUUUGCCUUUUCCAGAAUGCCAUGUAGUUGGAGUCAUAUAGUAUGUAGCCUUUUCAAUUGGCCUUUUUCACUUCGCAGUAUGCAUUUAAGGUUUCUCCAUGUCUUUUUGUAAUUUGAGAAGCUCAUUUUAAAAAAAUUUUAUUCUUUUAGAUUGUUGAACAAAUAAAUACAAAACUGCCAUCAUCAUUUGUAGAAAAACUGUUUAUACCAUCAUCUAAACUACUAUUCUUGCGUUAUCAUAAAGAAAAAGAGGUUGUUGCUGUAGCCCAUGCUGUUUAUCAAGCAGUGCUCAGCUUGAAGAAUAUUCCUGUUUUGGAGACUGCCUAGAAGUUAAUAUUGGGAGAAAUGACUUGUGCCCUAAACAACCUCCUACAUAGUCUGCAACUUCCUGAGGCCUGUUCUGAAAUAAAGCAUGAGGCUUUUAAGAAUCAUGUGUUCAAUGUAGACAAUGCAAAAUUUGUAGUUAUAUUUGACCUCAGUGCCCUGACUACAAUCGGAAAUGCCAAAAACUCACUAAUAGGGAUGUGGGCGCUAUCUCCAACUGUCUUUGCACUUCUGAGUAAGAAUCUGAUGAUUGUGCACAGUGACCUGGCUGUUCACUUCCCUGCCAUUCAGUAUGCUGUGCUCUACACAUUGUAUUCUCAUUGUACCAGGCAUGAUCACUUUAUCUCUAGUAGCCUCAGUUCUUCCUCUCCUUCUUUGUUUGAUGGAGCCGUGAUUAGCACUGUACGGCUACAAAGAAACAUUUCUCAAUUAUAUUAAAUCUUCUGGGAAUAUUACUUAAGAAAGAUAACCUUAACCAGGACACGAGGAAACUGUUGAUGACUUGGGCUGUGGAAGUAGCUGUUUUAAUGAAGAAGUCCGAAACAUAUGCACCUUUAUUCUCUCUUCCGUCUUUCCAUAAAUUUUGCAAAGGUUUAAUAGCUCUCGUUGAAGAUGUGAAUAUCUGUCUGCAGGCAUGCAGCAGUCUACAUGCUCUGUCCUCUUCCUUGCCAGAUGAUCUUUUACAGAGAUGUGUUGAUGUUUGCCGUGUUCAACUAGUACACAGUGGAACUCGUAUUCGACAAGCAUUUGGAAAACUGUUGAAAUCAAUUCCUUUAGAUGUUGUCCUAAGCAAUAACAAUCACACAGAAAUUCAAGAAAUUUCUUUAGCAUUAAGAAGUCACAAGAGUAAAGCACCAAGUAACACAUUCCAUCCCCAAGAUUUCUCUGAUGUUAUUAGUUUUAUUUUGUAUGGGAACUCUCAUAGAACAGGGAAGGACAAUUGGUUAGAAAGACUGUUCUAUAGCUGCCAGAGACUGGAUAAGCGUGACCAGUCAACAAUUCCACGCAAUCUCCUGAAGACAGAUGCUGUCCUUUGGCAGUGGGCCGUAUGGGAAGCUGCACAAUUCACUGUUCUUUCUAAGCUGAGAACCCCACUGGGCAGAGCUCAAGACACCUUCCAGACAAUUGAAGGUAUCAUUCGAAGUCUUGCAGCUCACACGUUAAACCCUGAUCAAGAUGUUAGUCAGUGGACAACUGCAGACAAUGAUGAAGGCCAUGGUAACAACCAGCUUAGGCUUGUUCUUCUUCUGCAGUAUCUGGAAAAUCUGGAGGAAUUAAUGUAUAAUGCACAUGAGGGAUGUGCUAAUGCAUUAACAUCACCUCCCAAGGUCAUUAGAACUUUUUUUUAUACCAAUCGCCAAACUUGUCAGGACUGGCUAACACGGACUCUCCAUCAUGAGGGUAGGAUUGUUGGCAGGCCAGCCUGCAGUGACAGUGAGACAUGGCUUUUGACUUGCUUACAAAGAUGAAAACAACCAAUCUAUCUCAGGUAAAGUGAUGUGUUUGGAAUUCAUUUUACGUCUGUUAAUAAGAAAACAUGGUUUAAUUCCUUUGCUGUGAUUUAAUCUAUGGGUAAAAUAAGUUAAAGCUUGGAUUCAUUUUCAAAGGUUUUGAUCCUGUAUUUUGUAAAAGCAACAACUGCCAGUUACCUAUUUUAUUCAUGUUGAAACAAUGUUAGAAUGUUAAAAUAAUGUUCAUGUUUUUGUUCAUGUUAAAACAUUGUUCAUGUUAGAACACGUUAAAACUAUAUUAUGUGCAAAGUUUAGAACUUUAAAGGUAAUUCUAAAAAUAUGUUUGUGGGAGAAAUCUUUUUUUUUUUUGGAGACACACUUUCACUCUGUCGCCCAGACUGGA